UGACCAUAAUCAUUUCAUUAGUGAUUGUCCCAAGCCUAAGAAAAACCAACAUAGAGAUCAAGCCAAUAUGAUAUCCGACGGUGGUGAUGUAUUCUAAUGUGUUAGAAUAUUUGUAUUACUUUGUGUUUUGCUUGUUAUUUGCAUUACUUUGUGUUUUGCUUGUUUUUUGCAUUACUUUGUGUUUUGUUUUUUAAACUUG
rnacentral:lncRNA from 1 species